GACGAACGCUGGCGGCGUGCUUAACACAUGCAAGUCGAACGGAAAGGCCCUGCUUUUGUGGGGUGCUCGAGUGGCGAACGGGUGAGUAACACGUGAGUAACCUGCCCUUGACUUUGGGAUAACUUCAGGAAACUGGGGCUAAUACCGGAUAGGAGCUCCUGCUGCAUGGUGGGGGUUGGAAAGUUUCGGCGGUUGGGGAUGGACUCGCGGCUUAUCAGCUUGUUGGUGAGGUAGUGGCUUACCAAGGCUUUGACGGGUAGCCGGCCUGAGAGGGUGACCGGCCACAUUGGGACUGAGGUACGGCCCAGACUCCUACGGGAGGCAGCAGUGGGGAAUAUUGCACAAUGGGCGGAAGCCUGAUGCAGCAACGCCGCGUGCGGGAUGACGGCCUUCGGGUUGUAAACCGCUUUCGCCUGUGACGAAGCGUGAGUGACGGUAAUGGGUAAAGAAGCACCGGCUAACUACGUG
rnacentral:rRNA from 1 species